rnacentral:lncRNA from 1 species
UGGGAGCUGCAUAUCCACCGUCUAGUGCUUACUCCAAAGAGGUAUCAUCAUCGGCCUCUGCUCACAUCCAAAGUUGGAUGAUUCAUUGCAAAAGAGAAAUUCAUACCCAUGCACAACAAGCAAACAAAGCAAGGGUAAGCUACUAUUCAAAACAUGCACAUGGUUAAUACAAUUAAUCAAGAAGAACAUACAAUUAAUAAUCAAUUCAGGCAUGAGAUAAACCCUAGUUAACCUAGACUCGUCCGGACUUAGAAUGUAUGUAGAGCUGGGGCGGGUAGUGCACUUGUGGUGGCCUCUACUGCUUUGCAAAGCCAUUGCCAAGGGGUUUCACUCGACCACACACAAGGUUAGUCCAUUACCGCGGAAUAGACCUCCAGUGAUAGCAUCUACCCUAGGACCUCCCACUACUCUCACCACACGCGUUAAUCCUCUCUAAGUGAGAAUGAAAGACCGUUAGAGUGUUAGGGAUAACCCCCAUAUGAAAGCCUCUACAUUCAUUCUAAAC